rnacentral:rRNA from 1 species
AGGACGAACGCUGGCGGCGUGCUUAACACAUGCAAGUCGAACGAGGUGCUUCGGCACUUAGUGGCGAACGGGUGAGUAACACGUGAGCAACCUGCCCUUGGCUCUGGGAUAGCCUCCGGAAACGGGGAUUAAUACCGGACAUGACCUGCUCCUGCAUGGGGGCGGGUGGAAAGUUUUUCGGCCAGGGAGGGCUCGCGGCCUAUCAGCGUUGGUUGGGGGGUAACGGCCCACCAAGGCGACGACGGGUAG